GAUUACCUAGCAGUCUGGUGCCACACGAAAAACAGGCCCCCUGAGGCACGGCCAAACCACAGUCUACAGCCAUGGAACCAUUGAUAGUUUCUAUACUAUCGAUUGCUGUGUAAUCGAUCCAAUGAAACAGAUUUUCAUCUACGCACAAGGAAAAAUCAAGCGCCACCAGAAGGUCAUCCAAGCGCAAGUUUUACUAAAUCACCGGAGGUACAAGCGAUAAUGCAGAGCUGCAACAGGAAAACUUCGGCUACAUAUGAAACCUAAUCGGGAAGCGAUGAGAUAUAGGAUCUUGAAGUGGUGUACCAUUUCUGGGACAAGGAUUAAGGAAGCAUCCAUUUGUUACGUAAUGAUGAACCCCCUUCCUCCGCUUCAUAACGUCUUUUGUACGAAAAUUUUGAAUAAGUCAUAACGCUUGAGCCUAUUUCCUCCCCCCCCUCGAACGUUACGCAAUAUGUGGACGGCACCUAACUAUUUAAUUCUGAAUUCCGACUGAGAAUUAUUUUUAUUAUUGAAAUCAUUUUAAAUUAAUAAAAGCAUGGUAUGAAAAA